CAGUAGUCACGAGUUUGUAUCAUGGCUCAGAUUGAACGCUGGCGGCAUGCCUAACACAUGCAAGUCGAACGAGACCUUCGGGUCUAGUGGCGCACGGGUGCGUAACACGUGGGAAUUUGCCNCGGGGUAUGGAAUAACUCAGGGAAACUUGAGCUAAUACCAUAUAAUGUCUUCGGACCAAAGAUUUAUCGCCCUGAGAUAAGCCCGCGUAGGAUUAGCUAGUUGGUGAGGUAAAGGGACUCACCAAGGCGACGAUCCUUAGUUGGUCUGAGAGGAUGAUCGGCCACACUGGGACUGAGACACGGCCCAGACUCCUACGGGAGGCAGCAGUGGGGGAAUAUUGGACAAUGGGCGAAAGCCUGAUCCAGCAAUGCCGCGUGAGUGAUGAAGGCCUUCGGGUUGUAAAGCUCUUUUACUCGGGACGAUAAUGACGGUACCGAGAGAAUAAGCCCCGGCUAACUCCGUG
rnacentral:rRNA from 1 species